GACGAACGCUGGCGGCGUGCUUAACACAUGCAAGUCGAACGGAAAGGCCCUGCUUGCAGGGUACUCGAGUGGCGAACGGGUGAGUAACACGUGGGUGAUCUGCCCUGCACUUCGGGAUAAGCCUGGGAAACUGGGUCUAAUACCGGAUAGGAGCCAUUUUUAGUGUGAUGGUUGGAAAGUUUUUUCGGUGUAGGAUGAGCUCGCGGCCUAUCAGCUUGUUGGUGGGGUAAUGACCUUCCAAGGCGGCGACGGGUAGCCGGCCUGAGAGGGUGGACGGCCACAUUGGGACUGAGAUACGGCCCAGACUCCUACGGGAGGCAGCAGUGGGGAAUAUUGCACAAUGGGCGCAAGCCUGAUGCAGCGACGCCGCGUGGGGGAUGACGGCCUUCGGGUUGUAAACUCCUUUCGCUAGGGACGAAGCUUUUUGUGACGGUACCUAGAUAAGAAGCACCGGCUAACUACGUG
rnacentral:rRNA from 1 species